UACGUAGGGGGCAAGCGUUGUCCGGAUUUAUUGGGCGUAAAGGGCGUGUAGGCGGCCUGUUAAGUCAGAAGUGAAAACCCGAGGCUCAACCACGGGAGUGCUUCUGAUACUGAUGGGCUUGAGUGCUCUAGAGGGUAGUGGAAUUCCCGGUGUAGCAGUGAAAUGCGUAGAGAUCGGGAGGAACACCAGUGGCGAAGGCGACUGCCUGGGGAGUAACUGACGCUGAGGCGCGAAAGCUAGGGGAGCGAACAGGAUUAGAUACCCUGGUAGU
rnacentral:rRNA from 1 species